AGCAGCCACCCUUGAAAGAGUGCGUAAUAGCUCACUGGUCUAGUGAUUCCGCGCCGACAAUGUAGCGGGGCUCAAGCGUACCGCCGAAGUCGUGUCAUUCAUACAAUAGGGCCAACGCCUGUAUGGAUGGGUAGGGGAGCGUCGUGUGCCGGGUGAAGCAGCCGCGGAAGCGAGUUGUGGACGGUUCACGAGUGAGAAUGCAGGCAUGAGUAGCGAUACAAACG
rnacentral:rRNA from 1 species